AUUGAACGCUGGCGGCAUGCCUUACACAUGCAAGUCGAACGGCAGCACGGGAGCAAUCCUGGUGGCGAGUGGCGAACGGGUGAGUAAUACAUCGGAACGUGCCCAGUAGUGGGGGAUAACCCGGCGAAAGCCGGACUAAUACCGCAUACGACCUACGGGUGAAAGCGGGGGAUCGCAAGACCUCGCGCUAUCGGAGCGGCCGAUGUCAGAUUAGCUAGUUGGUGGGGUAAAGGCCUACCAAGGCGACGAUCUGUAGCUGGUCUGAGAGGACGACCAGCCACACUGGGACUGAGACACGGCCCAGACUCCUACGGGAGGCAGCAGUGGGGAAUUUUGGACAAUGGGCGCGAGCCUGAUCCAGCCAUGCCGCGUGCGGGAAGAAGGCCUUCGGGUUGUAAACCGCUUUUGUCAGGGAAGAAACGCUCCGGGCUAAUACCACGGAGUAAUGACGGUACCUGAAGAAUAAGCACCGGCUAACUACGUG
rnacentral:rRNA from 1 species